rnacentral:rRNA from 1 species
GACGAACGCUGGCGGCGUGCUUAACACAUGCAAGUCGAGCGGAAAGGCUCCUUCGGGGGUACUCGAGCGGCGAACGGGUGAGUAACACGUGAGUAAUCUGCCCUUGGCUUCGGGAUAACUACCGGAACGGUGGCUAAUACCGGAUAUGACCACUCCUUGCAUGAGGUGGUGGUGGAAAGUUUUUCGGCCAGGGAUGUGCUCGCGGCCUAUCAGCUUGUUGGUGGGUAAUGGCCUACCAAGGCUUCGACGGGUAGCCGGCCUGAGAGGGUGACCGGCCACACUGGGACUGAGACACGGCCCAGACUCCUACGGGAGGCAGCAGUGGGAAUAUUGGACAAUGGGCGGAAGCCUGAUCCAGCAACGCCGCGUGAGGGAU